rnacentral:rRNA from 1 species
UACGGAGGAUCCGAGCGUUAUCCGGAUUUAUUGGGUUUAAAGGGUGCGCAGGCGGGGGAUUAAGUCGGCGGUGAAAUUUUGCAGCUCAACUGUAAAAGUGCCUUCGAAACUGGUUUCCUUGAGUGUAGAUGAAGUAGGCGGAAUUUGUGGUGUAGCGGUGAAAUGCAUAGAUAUCACGAGGAACUCCGAUUGCGCAGGCAGCUUACUAAACUACUACUGACGCUCAGGCACGAAGGCGUGGGGAUCAAACAGGAUUAGAUACCCGCGUAGUCA